UACGGAGGGUGCAAGCGUUGUCCGGAAUUAUUGGGCGUAAAGAGCUCGUAGGCGGUUUGUCGCGUCUGCUGUGAAAACUCAGGGCUUAACCCUGAGCCUGCAGUGGGUACGGGCAGACUAGAGUGUGGUAGGGGAGAUCGGAAUUCCUGGUGUAGCGGUGAAAUGCGCAGAUAUCAGGAGGAACACCGGUGGCGAAGGCGGGUCUCUGGGCCGAUACUGACGCUGAGGAGCGAAAGCGUGGGGAGCAAACAGG
rnacentral:rRNA from 1 species